GCCAGAUUAGUUGUAGUGGUAACACAAGCCUUUCGUAAUGGUUUAUCGUCGGUUCGAUUCCGACAUCUGGCUC
rnacentral:tRNA from 1 species